rnacentral:rRNA from 1 species
GCGCAAGCGAAUUAAGGGCGCAUGGGGGAUACCUAGGCUCUCAGAGGCGAUGAAGGACGUGAUAAGCUGCGAAAAGCUUCGGGGAUUGGCACAUACAAAUUGAUCCG